UUUGUGAAGGGAGUUUUCCUCUCGCUCAGAAGCCUCUGCCGUGUGCUGCACUACAACCACGUUUUCUGCCUCUUGCUGAGCCAAGUUCAUUAGCCUCAGUGGGUGAGGAGCUUCAGAAUAAGAUAGAAGCCACAGUGGGCAGUAAUUAAUGCAGAGACUCACAACUGGCUCCUGAGGAUACGUGACCAUUGAGUGCUCAGCUGCAGAGGGUACACAUAUAUCAAUUCCCCACCUCAAGGCUCAGGGAGAGCAUGGGAAGAAUGGAGGAGCUGGAGGAGGAGUGCUGAGAAAUGCUAUUCUUUGGAUAUGACACGGCUAUUGCACACAUGGACUCACAAUAGCUGUGGUUCCCUGCACACCCCCUGUAGAAGAUCAAGCCUGUUACAAAUUCCAAACUGGAAGGAAGAGGGGACACUGAUGCCACGACCUGAACUCCAACACUAUUGGCAGUUGGGAGCUGCUGGGUGAAUGAAAGUCACCUUUCUUUAGGCAUACUCCAUUGUUCAUUAACCCCAUCAGCUUUACAAAAAGCGAAAACCAAAAGUCAAGAGCGAGUUUCUCUGCCAAAGUACAACUUUAACGAAAUGCCUCGGGAGAAGGAGGAUCACUGGGGCACGCUUGAUGCAAGACGAUGUUUUAUUAAAACAACAACUUCUCAUUUUAAACACAAGUUCUGGACUCGGGUUCAUUUCCCAACACUCACAUGGUGCUGGAUCACAACCGUCUGUAAGAAAAGGGAGAAGAGGAGAGAGGCGAGAGGCAGGGAGUAGAGAGACAGAGAGAGGAGCGGGGAGAGGGAGAGAGAAGGGAAUUUAAGAGCAAGAGCAGGGAAGAAGAGGAUCCUAGUGCUAGGGGAUCUGAUGCCCUCUUCUGGCUUUCCUGGGUACUGCAUGCAUGUGGUGCUUAGAUACUUGUGCAGGACACUAAUAGAUAUAAAAUAUAAAUAAAUAAAACAUCAAAGCAAAUUUGAAUGUACACUAUCUUCUACCUCUAUAAAUCAUCUACCUAUUUAGCAAUUUUUAUUUUUGAAAUAGGAAUGUUUGGGUUGUUCCUAACUGGGUAUGCAUCACUGAUAACAUGAUUGUGUCAAGGUUACCUUAGAUUGUAGACAAGAGUGUACUGUAGACUCUCUAUUUCUGGAGAGUCUAUUUGAAAAGAACCAUUUUCCCCAACGUUCUAUCAAAAGAGCCCGCUUCAAGAAGGCAGUAAGGUUGAACAGGGUUCUACAUCAAUCACCCAAAUCCAUAACUGAUAACACUCUGGGUCUCUUCGUGUACUUGGAACCAAGACUUGCUCUUUAAUGAAAUCAUUUCAAUCUUAGAGAAAAUUUGCAAAUAUAGUUGAAAAAUUUACACAUGCCUGAUACCCAUAUCUAUAUCCACUGAUGGCUAAUCAGCUGCCACUUGUGUUACCCUGGGUCUAUCGGUACACAAUCCCACACAGUCACUUCCACAGGGACAGCUUUAUGGCUUGACCUGAUCAUGGUGACAAGCGAAUGAAUAAAGGACAGACAGACAGACAGACAGACAGACACACCCACACACACCCACACACACACACACACACACACACACACACACACACACGGGGCGGGGAAGCUGGGGUUAGGUGGGCUGCUAUGUGGUCUGGUGGAGAUGCGCCAGGAGCAGCCAGGAAACUCAACAUGUUUAUUUCAUAUAUGUGAACGAAGGAGUUGUAUGCAACUGAAGGAGAGGAUGGUUAAGUCUGGAUAGGGGGCUGUCUGUAGGAGAGCAAUCUGAUAGGAACAUAAAAGAGUAAAAGGGUUUUCAUUUCCUGAACCCAGGGAAGGCUUCGCCAUUGCUUUGUGUCUGAAGCACUGGGUCCUUGACAUGGUCACGCUCAAGUCAAAAGAAAACACACUCAUUCAGGAUUCAUUCACUACUCACCCUCGAACAGAGAAUACGUGUGGGUUUUUUUUCUGAACUAUUUUCAGCCAACAGGCAUAUUUGCCCUUUGGUUUGUAUUUCCUGUGUUUCUCAGGACAACCUAUAUUUCCCCAGCAUAUAAUCUCACAGGAGCAUAGUACAAUUACUGAAAGUGGGAAUUUUAGCAAGUAUAUAGUAACCAGUUUACAGUCCAUAUUCCAUUAUUGACUGUUUUGGCAAUGUACAUUAGAGUAUUUUUUCUAGUAUAAGAUUCUGCCCAGGGUUACACUGUAUUGAGUUGUCAUGCAUAUUUACACUACAAUGGUUUGGAACAGUUCCUAAGCCUGCUUUGUGUAUCUGUCUGUCUUUUGUCAAUAUUUUUAUUUCAUUAUUUUCCAUGUAUGUGAGUCAUUUAUUUUAAAAAGUGUCACUUCAUACAAAUUUAGCUUAUGUUUCUUCAUGAUCUGAUUCAAAUAACUCCUAUCUGGCCAGAACACUACAGAGGGGAUCUUGUGUCUUACUCAAGGUUUCAAAGCUAUAAGCAUACGAUAGUCAUUUAAUAGUAUCGGUGAUGUUAAUUUGGUCAUUUGAUUAAAAUCUUUUCCCCUCAUUGUCCGAAUUUUCCUUUUGUGAUAAUAAAUGAUAGAUGAAUAGAUACUUCACAAGUAUCCUAUUCCUCAUUAAGCUCCCUUUAUCUACAAUUAGAAUACAUUUUGUAACCAAAGGUGUCAAAACUUUGCUAUUAGCAUAUAAAAGUGGGCACACAGAUGGAGGCCACUGCAGAAGACUAUAGCCAAUCAAAAUGAAGAUUAUGCAGGCCCAUCCUACCCUGUCCCAGUAGAUACAGCCACAAAACACUUGUGCACCUAAGGAUCAAGGAACAUACCAGAAGAGGAGACAGAAAGAUUGUAAGAGCUGGAAUGUCAAAGAGUUUGCUCUAAGAUUGUGUCCCCUAGCAAUAUCAGAGGCUACAUCCAUAAAGUUUCAACAACAUGACUGGCCAAAUGUGAGCUGGCCAAGGAUGACAGCAGUGAACAUGACAAACUGGAUGGAGGAAAACCCAACCUUACACAAACAACUACAGGGGAACUGAGGAAAGCUCGGAAUGGGAGAGGUGGGUUUUCCGCAAUGGAAAACACACCGAUUCGUUCUUUAGUGCCAAAGGAUCAGCCCUGAAAACAAACAUAUAU